GUGCUAUUGCUUUGGCAGUACAUAUACUAAAAUUGGAACCAAAGAGAGAAGAUUAGCAUGGCCCCUGCGCAAGGAUGACAUGCCAACCAAGAAACCCAACAGAAAAUA